GCUGGGCAUGGUGGUGCACACCUGUAAUCCCAGCAGCUUGGGAGGCUGAGGCAGGAGGAUGGCAAGUUCAAAGCCAGCUUCAGCAAUGGUGAGGCACUAAACAACUCAGGGAGACCCUGUCUCUA
rnacentral:sRNA from 1 species